AGAGUUUGAUUAUGGCUCAGGAUGAACGCUGGCGGCGUGCCUAAUACAUGCAAGUCGAACGAAGAAUCUUCGGAUUCUUAGUGGCGAACGGGUGAGUAAGACGUAAGCAACCUGCCUACCAGACUGGGAUAACGUUUGGAAACGGACGCUAAUACCGGAUAGGUAUUGAUGAGGCAUCUUAUCGAUAUUAAAGUUUAGAUACACUGAUAGAUGGGCUUACGGCGUAUUAGCUAGUUGGUGAGGUAACGGCCCACCAAGGCAACGAUACGUAGCCGGACUGAGAGGUUGAACGGCCACAUUGGGACUGAGACACGGCCCAA
rnacentral:rRNA from 1 species